GACGAACGCUGGCGGCGUGCUUAACACAUGCAAGUCGAACGAUGAAGCCUAGCUUGCUAGGUGGAUUAGUGGCGAACGGGUGAGUAAUACGUGAGUAACCUACCUUUAACUCUGGGAUAAGCCUGGGAAACUGGGUCUAAUACCGGAUACGACCAAUCUCCGCAUGGGGUGUUGGUGGAAAGCGUUAUGUAGUGGUUAUAGAUGGGCUCACGGCCUAUCAGCUUGUUGGUGAGGUAACGGCUCACCAAGGCGACGACGGGUAGCCGGCCUGAGAGGGUGACCGGCCACACUGGGACUGAGACACGGCCCAGACUCCUACGGGAGGCAGCAGUGGGGAAUAUUGCACAAUGGGCGCAAGCCUGAUGCAGCGACGCCGCGUGAGGGAUGACGGCCUUCGGGUUGUAAACCUCUGUUAGCAGGGAAGAAGAGAGAUUGACGGUACCUGCAGAGAAAGCGCCGGCUAACUACGUGCCAGCAGCCGCGGUAAUACGUAGGGCGCGAGCGUUGUCCGGAAUUAUUGGGCGUAAAGAGCUUGUAGGCGGUUUGUCGCGUCUGCUGUGAAGGCCGGAGCUUAACUCCGUGUAUUGCAGUGGGUACGGGCAGACUAGAGUGCAGUAGGGGAGACUGGAAUUCCUGGUGUAGCGGCGGAAUGCGCAGAUAUCAGGAGGAACACCGAUGGCGAAGGCAGGUCUCUGGGCUGUAACUGACGCUGAGAAGCGAAAGCAUGGGGAGCGAACAGGAUUAGAUACCCUGGUAGUCCAUGCCGUAAACGUUGGGCACUAGGUGUGGGGAACAUUCCACGUUUUCCGCGCCGUAGCUAACGCAUUAAGUGCCCCGCCUGGGGAGUACGGCCGCAAGGCUAAAACUCAAAGAAAUUGACGGGGGCCCGCACAAGCGGCGGAGCAUGCGGAUUAAUUCGAUGCAACGCGAAGAACCUUACCAAGGCUUGACAUAUACUGGACCGCAUCAGAGAUGGUGUUUCCCUUCGGGGCUGGUAUACAGGUGGUGCAUGGUUGUCGUCAGCUCGUGUCGUGAGAUGUUGGGUUAAGUCCCGCAACGAGCGCAACCCUCGUUCUAUGUUGCCAGCACGUUAUGGUGGGGACUCAUAGGAGACUGCCGGGGUCAACUCGGAGGAAGGUGGGGAUGACGUCAAAUCAUCAUGCCCCUUAUGUCUUGGGCUUCACGCAUGCUACAAUGGCCGGUACAGAGGGUUGCGAUACUGUGAGGUGGAGCUAAUCCCUAAAAGCCGGUCUCAGUUCGGAUUGGGGUCUGCAACUCGACCCCAUGAAGUCGGUGUCGCUAGUAAUCGCAGAUCAGCAACGCUGCGGUGAAUACGUUCCCGGGCCU
rnacentral:rRNA from 1 species